UAUAUUCAAAUCAUACUAUUUAUUUAUGUCAUUCAUGCAGGCCAUUGAAGUGACUGAAUCUAGCCAAAUGCUAAAAGUUUUAGAAAGAUUUUCACAUUCUAAAUGCUAUCCAGAGUAGAUCUACAGAAUGAGAAGUCAUGUAGCAAUGCAUGAUGGAAGAAAGUUUUGAAGAUAUAUGUGAACACAUUCAAAGGCUUUAGCAAAGACUUGCUGUUGAUAAAACAGUAAGUAACAAGAUAUUAGUGCUUGGGAAACAGCCAGAAUUGGACAUUAGUGAUGAGGAUAUUCUUGAGCUUGUUGCAUUGACGCUGAAAGCAUUCUAUUAAGGAGCUAAUCAAACUAGAAGAGCAAAAAAAUAAAGAAGCUGACAGAGAAGAAGUUGCACAUGAAGUACCAAGAAAGGUCACAGCAAACAAACUAACAGAGGAAUCUGCUACUAUCAGCAGUGGCAUUUAGAUGUUAGAAGAAACACACGUCAGUCACAAGACAUUCACAAGAGCUGAUGGGCAGAUACAGGAUGCUUGCUACAGAAAAAUAUAUAAUAAGAAAAAACAAAAUAUAUAGAAAGAAAAAACAAACUGCACAAAACUUGGUACCUUCCUAAAGAACACUACAUGGCUAAACCAUCAACAAGUGUUGAUGCCCUAGGGCCUUCUACCAGCUAUUCCUGAUCCUCAUCAUAAUAAACUGAUGAUCCUAUCAUUGUAGCAUCACCAUUAUCCAGCAAUUAAUUUUAGUUCACCAUUUCAAACAUUCUUUAGGCUUGGCUGUGUAUGUUAAUGAUAAGUACCCACACAAUCAUAGUUUUUCACUUUCAGAAUAGUAUUCAAUAAAUUACAUGAGAUAUUCAACACUUUAUUAUAAAAUAGGUUUUGUGUCAGAUGACUCUGCCCAACUGUAAACUAAUGUAAGUGUUCUGAGUAUGCUUAACAUAGGCUAGGCUAAACCAUGAUGUUCAGUAGGUUAGGUGUACUAAAUGCAUUUUUGACCACGAUAUGUUCAAUUUACAAUGGGUUAGUUUAUCGACACAUAACUCCAUCAUAAGUCAAGGAAGAGCUGUAUGAGUUUGCAAAAAAAGAAAAUGUUAACAGAAAAAAAAAAAUCUUGAAAUUUCAAAGAACAGAAUGGAAAAAGUAAACACUACACUUCUCACAGGUUUUGUAAAAAUUGCUUGAUAGUUAAAACAAAAAUGUCAACCAAUAUGAUGCUCAGUGUAUAAAGAAGAAAUACUUAACACAAUUAUUAAAGAGUGGGGAAUGUGAAAGGAUCCAAUGAAAGGAAAGCUUCUACAUAUCAAAGUGCUGAUAGCAUAGGCUGUGAUAAAUUAUAGAUGUAUAAAGCAAUACCUAAAAUAAUCAGUAAAAUACAAAGAGAUAUACUCAAAAAAUCACAGAUAUAUCAAAUGGAAUUCUGAAAAUUAAAGUAACCCACAGGAAGGCAAAAUAAAAAUAACAAACAAAACCCCCCAAAACAAUAGAGGAAAAAUAAACAGGGAACAAAGAAAAAACAAAUCAUAAACAGGCAAACCUAACACAUCAAUAAUUAUUUUAAACUCAAAUGAUCUAAACAUAACAAUUUUAAAAGAAAUCAGCAAAAUGGGGAUGCCUGGGUGUCUCAGCAGUUGGGCACCUGCCUUUGGCCCAGGGUGUCAUCCUGGAGUCCUGGGAUUGAGUCCCACAUUGGGCUCCCUGCAUGAAGCCUGCUUUUCUCUCUCUCUCUCUCUGUCUCCCAUGAAUGAAUGAAUAAAAUCUUAAAAAAAAAAAAAAGAAAAGAAAAGAAAAGAAAAAAGAAAUCAGCCAAAUGGCUAAAAACAAAGCACGACCAAAAAUAUAAACCAAGAAAUGCAAAAUAUUAACCAAAAACUGCAACAGUGGCUAUAUUAAUAACAGAUAAACUAUAUUCCAAAAAAAAUUUAGAGACAAAAAGGUACAUAGCAUAAUGAUAAAAAGGUCAACACACCAAGAUGAACGAGCAAUCCUCAAUGUGUACACACCUACAACAGAGCUUCGAAAUACUCAAAGCAAAAACUGAUAGAACUUAAAAGAAGAAACAGACAAUUCCAGAUUAUACUGCAGUCUUCAAAGUCCCUCUCUCAGCAAUUGAAAUACUAAACAGAAAAUCAGCAAGGAUGCAGAAAAUCUGAAUAACAUCAUCAAUCAACAGGAUCAUGUGGACAUUUACACAAACUCCAUCCAACAGCAGAAUACACAUUCUUCUCAAGAAACCAAACAUUCAUCAAGAUAGACCAUUUUGGGUCAUAAAGCAAACCUCAACAAAUUUAGACAACCAGAUCAAAUACAAAACAAACUAGAAGUCAUUAACAAGAACAUGAAACACUCCAAACACUAGGAAAUUAAGCAAUAUACUUCUAAAUGACUUAUGGGUUAGAGAGGAAGUCUUGAAUAAAUAAAUUUUUAGAACCAAAUGAAAUGUAAUUAAAAUGUAUUACAACUUGUGAGGAAAGUGCUGUGACGAAAAUUUAUAGAAUAUAAAGCUUACAUUAGAAAAGUAAAAAAAUCUCAAAUUCUAAGCAUCCGUCCCAAGAAACUACAGAGGAAAAUACCACAAAAGCAGGUGGAAGAACAAAUAUAAUAAAGGUCAAUACAGGUAUCAGUGAAAUUAGGAAAAAAAGGUAACAGAGAAAAAACAGUGGUGUAAAGUGCUGUUUCUUUAAAAAGAUCCAAAAAAAAAAAAAAAAAGGAUAAAUAAGAAGACUGACAAAGAUAAAAAGAGAAUUGACACACUUCUAAUAUCAGGAAUCUAACUGGAGAUGUAAGUACAGAUUCUUCCAUCAUAAACAGUAUAUUAAAGGAAUACUUGAAACAAAUAAAAACAUUUAGAUGAAAUGGAACAAUUCCUAAAAAAGGACAACUAUGAAAAUUCAUCCAAUAUGAAAUAGAUAUUCUGAAUAGUUCUAUACAUAUUAAAUAAAAUAAAUACAUAAUUAAAAAGCAUUCAAAAGAAAAAUCUCCAGGCAUACAUGGCUCACUGGAGAAUGCUACCAAACAUUUAUAAAACAAAUGAAAGCAAUUCUAGACACUAUCUUCCACAUUAUAGAACACUCCCAAUACAUACUUGGAGGCCACUAUCACCUAGACACCAAAACCAAUGACAGUACGAAACAAAGAUAAAAGACAAACAAAAAAGAACAAAAGAAAGGAAACUACAUAUCAUUACCACUCAUGAAAUUAGAGGAAGAUUUCCUCAACAACAUGCUAGCAUAUUAAAUACUGUAACACAAUAUAUAAAAGUAAUUAUACUCUACAACCACGUAGGGCUUAUUUCAAGAACACAAAGCUGGUUCCACAUUCAAAACUCAAAUCAAUAUCAACAAGCUACAGAAGAAAAAACACUAUUAAUUGGUAAAGAAGUAGUAUAUGGUAAUAUUCAACACCCAUUCACAAUAACAGAAAAAAACCCAGCAAAUUAGGAAUAUGGGAAACUUACUAAACUUGGUAAGAAAAUUCUAUAAAGAAAAAAAACCUUAUACUAACAUCAUACUUGAUGAAAAAGUGUUUUCCCACUAUCAGAAACCAGACAAGGAUAUUCUUUCUUACUACUACUGAUCAACAUAUUGGAAAUCCUAGCUAGCAGACAAGAAAAGACAAUACUAGGUAUAUAUAUGAUGAUAUAUAUAUGAUGAGGAAAAAAAAGAACUGUCUAUUUGCAGAUGAUAUUUUUAAGUUUUAUAACCCCAAGCAUUCUACCAAAACAAAUAAAUGCCUACAGUUCAGCAAGGUUGCAAGAUACCAUAAUGACAUCCAAAAUUUAAUUACAUUUCUGUAUACUACCAAAACUUAUGUGGAAAUUGAAAGUUCAAAAGUCAAUGCCAUUUAUAAUAAAAGAAAAAACAUUUAGAUGCAAAUCUUAUAAAAUUCAUACAAGACCUAUUAUUGAAAUCUAUAAAACAGUGAUGAAGUAAAUCAAGCAAUAGAGACAUCCUGUGUUCAUAAAUUGAAGAGUUAACACUGUAAAGAUGCCAAUUCUCAACUGAUCUGACAAUUUAACCCAAUUUCUAUAGAAAUUCCAUAGAUUUUCUUCAUAAAAAUAGGCUUCUCCAAAACUUUAUGUGAAGUUCAAAGUAAUACAGAGUGCUAAAUUAGGUUUAAAUUAAAAAAAAAUAAAGAGAGAGAAAUCAUUUUAUAAAGCUGGAGGAUUUACACUUAAUUACAACAAUCAAGGAAACCAAUCGUAAAGGACAAGAAAAAGUCUAAGUAUCAUCUCUUUAAAACCACAUGAAGAUUAAAAAAAAAAAGAGCCUUAAAGAGUCUUAAAUGGUGCAAUAAAAUGGGCUCGCAUUCGUAUGUGUAUUUUUAUGUCCUCAAAUAUAAAGGUGUUUGAUGGGUCCAGCCUUUAUAGUUCUCAACAAAAAUUAAGCUCCUUAAACAGAGACAAUGUUUUAGAACAAAGAAGAUGUUCAUAAAAGUUUCCAAAUCUGCCCUCAAUUGUCUAACUCUCUUGACACUGGACAACAAUGAAUGCAUAUACACAACACAUAAAAGUCUAGGUCCUUUACUGCUAAAACAAAACCCUCCUCCUGCCAAGUAAACUAGAGACUCCAUGACAAAGUGCCAAAGGCUUGGCAAGGAAAUCUGGGGGAAAAAAAAAGUGUUUGUUUGCCGUUCAUUCUAAGUCUCCUUUCUUUAUUUAAAAAAAAAAAAAAAA
rnacentral:lncRNA from 1 species